AUUGAACGCUGGCGGCAUGCCUUACACAUGCAAGUCGAACGGUAACAGGUUAAGCUGACGAGUGGCGAACGGGUGAGUAAUAUAUCGGAACGUGCCCAGUCGUGGGGGAUAACUGCUCGAAAGAGCAGCUAAUACCGCAUACGACCUGAGGGUGAAAGCGGGGGAUCGCAAGACCUCGCGCGAUUGGAGCGGCCGAUAUCAGAUUAGGUAGUUGGUGGGGUAAAGGCCUACCAAGCCUACGAUCUGUAGCUGGUCUGAGAGGACGACCAGCCACACGGGGACUGAGACACGGCCCAGACUCCUACGGGAGGCAGCAGUGUGGAAUUUUGGACAAUGGACGCAAGUCUGAUCCAGCCGUGCCGCGUGCGGGAAGAAGGCCUUCGGGUUGUAAACCGCUUUUGUCAGGGAAGAAAAGGUUCUGGUUAAUACCUGGGACUCAUGACGGUACCUGAAGAAUAAGCACCGGCUAACUACGUGCCAGCCGCCGCCGUAACAC
rnacentral:rRNA from 1 species